rnacentral:rRNA from 1 species
AUUGAACGCUGGCGGCAUGCCUUACACAUGCAAGUCGAACGGCAGCACGGGAGCAAUCCUGGUGGCGAGUGGCGAACGGGUGAGUAGUACAUCGGAACGUGCCUAGUAGUGGGGGAUAGCCCGGCGAAAGCCGGAUUAAUACCGCAUACGACCUGAGGGUGAAAGCGGGGGAUCGAAAGACCUCGCGCUAUUGGAGCGGCCGAUGCCAGAUUAGGUAGUUGGUGGGGUAAAGGCCUACCAAGCCGACGAUCUGUAGCUGGUCUGAGAGGACGACCAGCCACACUGGGACUGAGACACGGCCCAGACUCCUACGGGAGGCAGCAGUGGGGAAUUUUGGACAAUGGGCGAAAGCCUGAUCCAGCCAUGCCGCGUGCAGGAAGAAGGCCUUCGGGUUGUAAACUGCUUUUGUCAGGGAAGAAAAGUUCUGGGUUAAUACCCUGGGGCGAUGACGGUACCUGAAGAAUAAGCACCGGCUAACUACGUGCCAGCAGCCGCCGUAA